rnacentral:tmRNA from 1 species
GGGGGCGACAAGGUUUCGACGUUGGUAUUGAGACUUUAUGUGCAUGUCGAGGCUACAGAGUUCUCGUUAAACUCUCUGUAAAAAACUAGUUGCAAAUAACAACUACGCACUAGCUGCAUAAAUCCAGCUGGCAUCAAUUUUUACUCUCUUGGGGGUAUUGAUUGAUGAAAAUACCCAAGAUCGUGAUUAUGCGUUCUCUUCAAUUAAUCAUUAAAUAAAAUACUAGAGAUCGCUUGAUGCUAUCCUUCCUUUCGGUUACAUCAGGUUAAAAUAAAAGAUCUGGAUAAACAUGUAGAUCAUUCUGUGGAUAACUAGCGGACGCGGGUUCGAUUCCCGCCGCCUCCACCA